AGUCCUGGUCUUGGAAGCCGCAGCCUUCACUUCCUCUCUAUUCUGUUCAUUUGAGUGAGGUGCUAAGUCCUGCCCACACUCAGGGUUUGGGGUUGAUUCAGGAAGAAAAAGAAAAUACAGAGCAGCGGGCAGAGGAGAUUGAAAGUCGAGUUGGCAGUGGAAGUCUAGACAAUCUUGGUCGUUUUAGAUCAAUGAGCUCCAUUCCCCCCUAUCCUGCUUCCUCGCUUGCUAGCUCCUCCCCUCCGGGCAGUGGGCGCUCCACCCCACGAAGGAUCCCUCACAGCCCAGCUCGGGAAGUGGACAGACUGGGCGUCAUGACCCUUUUGCCACCUUCCAGAGAAGAGGUACGAGAUGACAAGACAACCAUAAAGUGUGAAACCUCCCCGCCUUCCUCCCCAAGAGCCCUUCGGUUAGACCGGCUGCACAAAGGGGCGCUGCACACCGUCAGCCACGAGGACAUCAGGGACAUAAGGAACUCCACAGGCUCCCAGGACGGUCCCGUGAGCAACCCCAGCAGUAGCAACAGUAGCCAGGACUCGCUCCACAAAGCCCCAAAGAAGAAAGGAAUUAAGU
rnacentral:sRNA from 1 species